GCAGCGGGCAGCCACCUGCCUGUCCGCCGUGUCCGGCUGUCCCCUGCCCAGGCGCCCAGCCCAACGGCCAACGCAGAGAACGCACGUAAGCUUGUUAUCUAUUUUUUUUUCUAAUUUCAAUUUAUUAUUUGUACCACUCGUUCUACGCAGUACGCACUAAUUUAUAUAUAUGUGCAUCAAUUGGUCUAGAGACCUAGUAUUUGAAGACAAAGUCAUGUCUUCCAGGAAGUAUGAAUCAGGUUUUCAAAAGCGUAAGAAACAAAAAAGAAUAGAGGGUUUAAUUCAGUCUCAAAAAGGAGCUAUGGAUAGAUUCGUUAUUAAAGAAUCACAAGUAUCCCCUGUGAAUCAGCCAGCUGAUGGAGGCCCUGCAAUUGAUAGUACUGCUGCUAACAACGAGGUUGAUGAUGUUCCUAUUGAUAACACAAACGUAGGGAUGGGCAAUAAUAGUGAUAAUUUGAAUACUUCAGCGUCUAUGAAUGAUGGUGAUUCUUUUCAGCCUGAUAUAUUUGAUUCCAGUGACAGUUGCAUCAGCAGAACGAAGCUUUUCUAAAUUGAAGCUAUUGAAGUCAUAUUUGCGCUCUACAAUGUUACAACAAAGACUUACUGAUUUGGCCCAGAUAUCACUUGAGAGUGAAUUAUUGGAGAAGAUUGAAUAUGAGCGUAUUAUUGAAGAAUUCAUUUCAAGUAACACCAAAAAGAAUGAAGUUGUUCAAAUAAAUAUGAUACAACAAAGCGUUGAAUAGGUACGUUUCCUUUUCCAUGGCUAUGUAAACCAUUAUAACAUAUGUAUUAUUACUAUGUUUUAUUUUUCCUUAGGAUAUAGGCCCCAAUUUAAAAUUACGUACAGGGUCUCGGAUUAUGCCGGCCCGGCCCUGUGGCCGAGAUGGCGCUCGCCGAGGUGGCUGCCAUGAUGUAGGUGGGCGCCGACGACGACGGUGACGCACUCAUUCUUGCGACGCUCGGGAUGCAGCGGCGGAGGAUGAGCUCAUUUUUGUCGACCGGGAGCUUGAUGUUGGCGCUGGGGCUGGCCGGAGCCCUAUCAAGCGCAGGGUGGAGUUCAAGCUACCAGAGAGCUGCGACUGAGCAACACAUGAAAAGCUGGGACCAGAUUCAAGAGGGAUAGAGGCAAGCAGCCAACACGCAGAAGCUCACCUGCUCAGGACAACACCAGGGAUCUACGGUUUCUUGCACUGUACUGCAUCACAUUCCAUCGCAAGAACAAAACCAUCCCGCUCCUUGCAAACAUCCAAAGAUACAAGUUUUCACGGAUGUAGUCUAGUUUAGAUAUGUUAGAUAUUAUGUCUACAAUAUUUCAUAAACUUUAUCAGGAGUUAUGUGCGUAUAUUAUGGUAAUGACGAUAGAACAAUCAUGUGUCGAUGUUGAUGUUUCUUAUGUUAUGUUAACGACAACCUGGGAACCGUAAUGGAUAAACUGUAAUGUUUUCUAUGUUUUUAACGUCAUGUGUGUUAUUUUUUAUUUGAUCAGUAUGUUGCAUAUCAUUGUGAACUCUAUGUGGACCUAGAACCACAUGUAUAGUAUAUUAUGACCCGUUUUUAUUGGUUA